UACCAGGGUGGUAACGGGUAACGGGGUGUUAGGGCACGACACCGGAGAGGGAGCCUGAGAAACGGCUACCACAUCCAAGGAUGGCAGCAGGCGCGCAACUUACCCAAUCCCGACACGGGGAGGUAAGGACAAUAAAUAACAAUACGGGGUUCUUUAGGAUCUCGUAAUUGGAAUGAGUACAAUUUAAAUCUCUUAACGAGGAACAAUUGGAGGGCAAGUCUGGUGCCAGCAGCCGCGGUAAUUCCUGCUCCAAUAGCGUAUAUUAAAGUUGUUGCAGUUAAAAAGCUCGUAGUUGAAUUUCGGGGUCAGUAGGUCGGUCGUGCCACUGGUAUGAACUGGUUUUACUGAUUCCUCCCUCUUGAAGAACUGUAAUGCCAUUAAUUUGGUGUUGCAGGGAAUCAGGACUGUUACUUUGAAAAAAUUAGAGUGUUUAAAGCAGGCCUUAGCUUGAAUACAUUAGCAUGGAAUAAUGAAAUAGGACGUUUGAUCCUAUUUUGUUGGUUUCUAGGAUUGACGUAAUGAUUAAUAGGGAWAGUUGGGGGCAUUAGUAUUCAAUUGUCAGAGGUGAAAUUCUUGGAUUUAUUGAAGACUAACUACUGCGAAAGCAUUUGCCAAGGAUGUUUUCAUUAAUCAAGAACGAAAGUUAGGGGAUCGAAGACGAUCAGAUACCGUCGUAGUCUUAACCAUAAACUAUGCCGACUAGGGAUCGGAUGAUGUUAAUUUUUUAAUGACUCAUCCGGCGCCUUACGGGAAACCAAAGUGUUU
rnacentral:rRNA from 1 species